CCUACGGGUGGCAGCAGUGAGGAAUAUUGGUCAAUGGGCGAGAGCCUGAACCAGCCAAGUCGCGUGAGGGAGUACUGCCCUAUGGGUUGUAAACCUCUUUAGGCGGGGAGCAAUGCCGGGCACGCGUGCCCGGAGGGAGAGUACCUGCAGACUAAGCAUCGGCUAACUCCGUCCCAGCCGCCGCGGUAAUAGGGAGGAUGCGAGCGUUAUCUGGAUGUAUUGGGUUAAAGGGGUGCGUAGGCGGAUGUUUAAGUCAGCGGGAAAAUGGCGGGGCUCACGCAGGGCCGGCCGUUGAAACUGGGGAUCUUGAGUGUGCGAGAGGAAUGCGGAAUGCGUGGUGUAGCGGUGAAAUGCAUAGAUAUCACGCAGAACUCCGGUUGCGAAGGCAGCAUACCGGCGCCCGACUGACGCUGAGGCACGAAAGCGUGGGGAUCGAACAGGAUUAGAUACCCGAGUAGUC
rnacentral:rRNA from 1 species